rnacentral:lncRNA from 1 species
UGCAUUUCAGGCCAAAAGGAUGAACAAAAUGAAAUCUUUGUUUCAAUACUCAUCUUUAAAGCUAAUACCUGCCGUUCAGGUUAGUUUCUGAUAGAUUUCUGCUCAUAGCAGAGUUGUGUUGAAAAGAUGAUUUUGUAUAAAUGACACUUUAGUUGUAUCUUCUUGUUUUUGAAUUGCUUUGCUCUGUACCUCUGCCAGUUCUCAGAGAUCUUUUUGUUUUCCAGUGUGGCUCUUGCACAGCAGAUCUUAGCUCAUUGCUUUGUCAGCGUACCGGGUGACUGCGUUGUGACAUGUUGCAGCAUGUUAUUUGCAAGAUUUCAUUGGUUCAAUCUUAGGCACUUAAAAAGUGCUUCUGGGUGUAACUGGUUCACCUGCUGGUAAUUACACAGGUUUUGAGUGUGGCUGGCAAAAGGAUCAAGUCUGCAUGGGCUCAAGUUCAAGAUCCCUGGCAGAGUGUUGUCUUGUUCCACAUUGCCGGAGGGACACGUGGCUGAUUCGUCCAUACCACUACUAAGUGUUGGAGAAGGCACAUAAUACUCCAGAGCUUCAAAAUCAGAAGUAAAAUCAUCUGGACAGUUGCCACCUGCCUUCCUAAAUAGGAGGAAAGUGGGAUUAUUGGUGCCUGCCUCAUUUGCUUCACCAAAAUGAGAUAGGGCAUGCAGGAGAGAAGGGAUAUUAUUGCAAGUGGAAGCUACAAUGAUUUCUCAGGGGACACAAUUUUGCUUAUUCAUACCUUUUACUGUGGCAAAAAUGGAGUAUUUUCCUUACCAAAAACCAGCAGCAUAACGCCUAUCAGACACUUGCCUCAAGGAAAUCUUAUCAAAAGUCUGUUCACAGUAAGUGAAAUGAAAAACUUGCUAAAGGUAGCUUUAAACUGCUUUGUAUCUAUUUGUGGCUCAAGAACAAGCAGCCUUAACAAGAGAACUAAUCUCGACAGUCUGGCUUUUAGCAGCAGCUGUUUGCUCUUAAGUAAGAGUAUUGGAGGAAAUAACUUGCUGUAAAGCAGUUUGAGGUUGAGCUGCUUCCUGACCACUGCAUACCAUUGCAUCAUACCUGUGUAUUCUGUUCCUCACUCCCUACUCCCAUUAAAUAUUUACUGUAGUGCAUAGCAAAUUGGAUGCGUGAAUAACACAAUCUAAAAGAUUAUCUGAGUUGUAAAUGAAGAUGUGUCCUCACGUUACUAUGAAUGUUUUAGUAUUCCCAGUGUAGAAAUAGGAGCCUAAAUAACUCAAAAUGUAAGAAAGAGUAAGUGAUUAUGCUGUUUUUCAUUGUACUGGGUUUUGAGCUGCAUGCAUUUCAUGGUGCCUGUAGGCCUAAGUGUUAACUUGUAAUGCAAUUCUAAGUUUAAAAAAAAAAAAACACAACAAAAGUACAUUUUAUAUCUAGUAACAGUUAUUCAUUGUCUUGCUUUUCUACGUACUGAGAUAAAUUGUAUGCGUGCAGAGUAAUUGUGAGGUAUUAAAUAUACGGAUGUUAGAGGAAAUUGUAAGGUUAGAACUUUGGCCGGGAUACCUUCUUUAUCUAAAGGUUGAAAUUUGAAGGAAUAUGUUCAGUUCUUAAACAAUAUUUUCUUUCAGAAGCAUAAUGAAAAAUGUGUAACCGUGGGGGGAAAAAAAUCUAUAAGACUCAAAAUGAGAAGAAAAUCUAGUUUAUUCUAAUUGUUUGUAUUUUGUAGAGGUACAUUGUAGUGGAAGAGAUGUGUUUCUUAAUGAAAUUGUGCAUUUAAUAAGAGGCCUCAUAUUGCAUUUCCAGUACAGUACAACAUACUGCCUACAUAUUUAUCAUUCUCCCAUAUAAAAGAAUAAUCAAUACCUGAAUUUGAUUUAAGAUGGAGCUUUGUUUUGGGAAAAUUCCAUUUUGGUCACUGGCAUUACAUUUAUCUUUCUGCUGCCUUCUGCCAGAAGAUAAUUAGCACACUAUGGGAACUUGUGAAUAAAAUAAGCGAGAUGCUGUAACUGUCUUAUGUU